rnacentral:rRNA from 1 species
UCCUACGGGAGGCAGCAGUAGGGAAUCUUCCGCAAUGGACGAAAGUCUGACGGAGCAACGCCGCGUGAGUGAUGAAGGUUUUCGGAUCGUAAAACUCUGUUGUUAGGGAAGAACAAGUACCGUUCGAAUAGGGCGGUACCUUGACGGUACCUAACCAGAAAGCCACGGCUAACUACGUGCCAGCAGCCGCGGUAAUACGUAGGUGGCAAGCGUUGUCCGGAAUUAUUGGGCGUAAAGCGCGCGCAGGCGGUUUCUUAAGUCUGAUGUGAAAGCCCCCGGCUCAACCGGGGAGGGUCAUUGGAAACUGGGGAACUUGAGUGCAGAAGAGGAGAGUGGAAUUCCACGUGUAGCGGUGAAAUGCGUAGAGAUGUGGAGGAACACCAGUGGCGAAGGCGACUCUCUGGUCUGUAACUGACGCUGAGGCGCGAAAGCGUGGGGAGCGAACAGGAUUAGAUACCCUGGUAGUCCACGCCGUAAACGAUGAGUGCUAAGUGUUAGAGGGUUUCCGCCCUUUAGUGCUGCAGCAAACGCAUUAAGCACUCCGCCUGGGGAGUACGGUCGCAAGACUGAAACUCAAAGGAAUUGACGGGGGCCCGCACAAGCGGUGGAGCAUGUGGUUUAAUUCGAAGCAACGCGAAGAACCUUACCAGGUCUUGACAUCCUCUGACAACCCUAGAGAUAGGGCUUCCCCUUCGGGGGCAGAGUGACAGGUGGUGCAUGGUUGUCGUCAGCUCGUGUCGUGAGAUGUUGGGUUAAGUCCCGCAACGAGCGCAACCCUUGAUCUUAGUUGCCAGCAUUCAGUUGGGCACUCUAAGGUGACUGCCGGUGACAAACCGGAGGAAGGUGGGGAUGACGUCAAAUCAUCAUGCCCCUUAUGACUUGGGCUACACACGUGCUACAAUGGGCAGAACAAAGGGCAGCGAAGCCGCGAGGCUAAGCCAAUCCCACAAAUCUGUUCUCAGUUCGGAUCGCAGUCUGCAACUCGACUGCGUGAAGCUGGAAUCGCUAGUAAUCGCGGAUCAGCAUGCCGCGGUGAAUACGUUCCGGGGCCUUGUACACACCGCC